rnacentral:ncRNA from 2 species
CGCAAACCCCCGGGGAGCGCCGCCAGGCGCUGAGAGUGCGGAAAGUCCGCAGACCCGUCGACCUGAUCCGGUUCGUACCGGCGUAGGAAGCAGGGCACCUGCCGACGA